CAGCUCCUUGACCACUCAGGCUAUGGGCCGCGUCCCGAACUGCGUCAGAACCUCGUUUGUCCAGACAGUGCUGACACAACGCUCGUGCGCCAUAACGGAUCGGUUCUCUUGCGGCGGGAGACUGAGAGCUCCUGGGACGGUUCCCUGCCAGACCAUCAGAGGGAGCUGGCAGGCUUUUCAUCAUAGUUUGCUGUAUUGUUUGUUAUUCCCCACCUGAGCUGAGCCACGCCCUUCCAUGGUUCCGUUCUCCCGCCAUGUCCCCUCUUAUACUUCAGUCUGUUUGUUAAAGCCUGAGUGAUGGAGCAGGGUUACUGUCACACCCCCGAGUGAUGGAGCAGGGUUACUGUCACACCCCCGAGUGAUGGAGCAGGGUUACUGUCACACCCCCGAGUGAUGGAGCAGGGUUACUGUCACACCCCCGAGUGAUGGAGCAGGGUUACUGUCACACCCCCGAGUGAUGGAGCAGGGUUACUGUCACACCCCCGAGUGAUGGAGCAGGGUUACUGUCACACCCCCGAGUGAUGGAGCAGGGUUACUGUCACACCCCCGAGUGAUGGAGCAGGGUUACUGUCACACCCCCGAGUGAUGGAGCAGGGUUACUGUCACACCCCCGAGUGAUGGAGCAGGGUUACUGUCACACCCCCGAGUGAUGGAGCAGGGUUACUGUCACACCCCCGAGUGAUGGAGCAGGGUUACUGUCACACCCCCGAGUGAUGGAGCAGGGACACUGGAGGACUCCUCCUUCACACACACACACACACACAUAUUUCUCCUCACAGGAAACUUCACCACAUCAUUGUUUUCACAUCUUAUCUUAUCUUAUCUUAUCUUAUCUUAUCUUAUCUUAUCUUAAAUGUCACAUUUGAUUGUAAUAAAGAAUGCUAAGCAGACUGGGUUUCAGGCAGGUUAGCCGCUUCACAGAAAGCAUGAUCAGGGAUCGAGCCCCUUGAUUAGCUUCUUAUGGGUUAAAUUUAGAAAGCUGUUAAUCAUGGUGACCUUCACCUCAUGAAGGUGAGAUGAACCAGAGGAGGUUCCUCAAAUGGCAUUGCCACAUACACGGCAUUACCAAAUUCUCGUUUCAUGCCGGGAAAAACCUCUCAGAAGGAUUCACAUGUACUUUGGCGUAUCAGUUCCUGUUGUUAUCUAGGAAGCACUCUGUCAUCCUGGCUUUGGAGGAGCAGACCAACAAGCCAUGCAGCAACCCAGGGACUGGGAAUGGCUUUCUCUCUCUCCUCAAUACAUCUGAUGUUUAAAAUAUCAUCAGUGGAUUUUUGAAGCUGCUAGUGUAAAUAAGGUCCACUCACAUGUCUGCUGAGCAGAUCUGUGAAAAAUCUGGUAGUUGGUGUUUAGGUUUUAGUCUAAAAGCAUCUUUCACUGGAAGAAAUUAAAUGACUAACACUUCCAGACUCUCUAGUGACAUCUCGUUUGUAAGAUCUAUUUUGCUGUAUAUUUAGCCACCAUGAUGUGGAUCCCUUCAGGUCGUACCAUAAAAAGUAAUGUUAAAACAUCAGAAUCUUAUUAUUGUUCCAUGUCUCAUGACCCAGACUGAUAAGAUAAGAUAAGAUAAGAUAACAUAAGAUAAGAUAAGAUAAGAUAAGAUAACAUAAGAUAAGAUAAGAUAAGAUAAACCUUUAUUCAUCCCACAUUGGGGAAAUUUCCACGUUACAGCAGCAACAAAAGAAGAAAAAAUGAUGGUUCCCAGUUCCUUAGUGGAUGUUAACCUCUGAAACCAACCUGUCUUACCUGCCUGCACCAUCCAUUCAGCACUGGUCUUCUACAUUACCAGUACAGGAAUUCAACACCAGUGUGGUGUGAAGCAAAAUAGCAAAAUGGAGAUGAUGAAGAAACCUUCCUCCAUCCAUCUAACCUCCAAAACCCCGACGAGUUCAUUCUGCUGUCCUACACCACUGGUGUGCUACUGGUCUCAGUAUAAAGAGCUCGUAAUUAGUGCUGUACUACGUCCACACCAGACAAUACCUACGACAACCAGUACAAAGAGAGCAGAAAGGAACAGAUGCAGGAGUGUUGGGAUCUCCUGGACCCCAAUUUUAAUUUUUUUUGUAUUAAUUAAUUAUUAAUUUAUUAAUUAGUUUCUUUUUUACACCAGUCUACUGACCACCACCCCAGUCAGAUCAGCUAACCUUUAUCAUUGACCCUUAAUUUUCCCGUUCAUGUUUUUGGAUUGGAUUAUUAUUUUCUGACUCCCAGAAGAGAAGCUAGCUAACACGCAGGGAGACACGUAGCUAACACGUGCUACCUCAGAGCCACGCUGAUGCAGCCAUCACGUGUUUAAGAACUGAUGCCCAUAUAGGCAGCUGAAGUCUUGGAGGAAAUCAGUAAUGAACCGUGAAUAUGAUUGGCUUUCUGAUUGACAGGCGAGAUUAUCUCGGUCCCUCCCACUCAGACAGUGUGACCAGUUUAGCUCUCCUGAAUUCCCAGCCAUCAGGAUUCUCUGUAUUUUUCUCUUUACGCCAUUCUUUUGUUUGUUUGCCAACUUCUGUGAAACUGUUUAAACAUUUGGACUAAAAAAAUUAAAAAAGGUCGAAAUUCUGUAUCUAGGUUGUGAUUUUUGUUACAGCAGUCAUUCAGUCAUUAAAUCCAGUCCAAGCCAUUUGUGCGACAGCUGAUAUUUUCAAUAAAUUAAAUAAAUAAUUUCACCAUUAAGCCAUAAAGUUGAUCAAUAUUAUAAUAACACUGUAUGACUCACAUAAACAUUACUUCCUAUUUCCAUUGAUUUGCAUCUUAAAUCCUGAUCUGCUUUAAACUCUUUAUCUCAUUAAAGCCUAGUGAUGAGUAACAGUUCAGUAUCCU